UAGAUUCGUGUAUGGAAAAUUCCAAACAAAGCAGGAUAUGGGAUGAUUACACACCAUCUAUGCUACAAUCACCACGGGCUCCACAGCUGGUAAUUAGUGAGGAUCAGCAUGUAACGCCGAUGGAAUCCGAAACUGCAGAACGAAUAAAUGGUGCAGCUUUUGCACAAAAUAGUGCACCUGUAGAGAAUCGCAGUGCAUCUCAUUCAAAUGGUAAAAAAGCAGUCAGUGAUUUCAAACGUAAACGCCCCGUGACAGGCACAGUCACUAACGAAAAAUGGUCUCGACUUGCUGAUAGCAAAGAAGAAUUGGUUCGACUCCAAAUCGAAGGCUUGAAAAAGGAACAAGCAUUGAACAAAAAAAAACUGGAAUUAGAAAUAGAGGAAAAAGCAGUUAGAUUGGAAAUUUCGAAACUGGAAUUAAAGCUAUUACAAAAACGACUCGCUAAAUAAUAUUAUUUGUAUAUAUUUAUAUUGUACCAGUAAACAUUGUUUUAAACUUAUAAAUACUUAUUAAAUACUCCCAAUUAUUGCAUAUGUGCAAAAUGAUUGUUUAUUAUGUUUAAUCUUGUGAUAUUAUUUUGCAUAUUUCGAUUCCCUGGAUGUUGUUGUACAGGAAUGUCAUUAACGGCUACUACAC